UACGUAGGUGGCAAGCGUUACUCGGAAUCACUAGGCGUAAAGCGCAGGUAGGCGGUUCGGUAAGUCUCUUGUGAAAGCUCCUGGCUCAACUGGGAGAGGUCAAGGGAAACUACCGGGCUAGAGUGUGGUAGGGGAUACUGGAAUUCCCGGUGUAGCGGUGAAAUGCGUAGAUAUCGGGAGGAAUACCUAUGGCGAAAGCAGGUAUCUGGGCCAUCACUGACGCUGAGCUGCGAAAGCUAGGGGAGCAAACAGG
rnacentral:rRNA from 1 species